rnacentral:rRNA from 1 species
UACGAAGGGGGCUAGCGUUGCUCGGAAUCACUGGGCGUAAAGGGUGCGUAGGCGGGUCUUUAAGUCAGGGGUGAAAUCCUGGAGCUCAACUCCAGAACUGCCUUUGAUACUGAGGAUCUUGAGUCCGGGAGAGGUGAGUGGAAUUCCCAGUGUAGCGGUGAAAUGCGUAGAUAUUGGGAGGAACACCAGUGGCGAAGGCGGCUCACUGGACCGGUACUGACGCUGAGGCGCGAAAGCGUGGGGAGCAAACGGG